CAAAGUUGAAUUCCCAGACCGAUCUACAACCACACCGAUAUUUACUUUCUAUUCCGUUAUCAUACUCAUCUGGAAAUCCCUUUACAGAUGCAUAAUUUUACUGUAACUAGCUAGCUAAAUAAUCGGGAAAGAUUAUCCUAACAAAUUGAUAAACCACUCAGAAGCCCAUUGUGUGUCCGCCAACUGACUUGUGGGACUGGAUAGGUGACCUGUGUGCCUGGUGGAUCACAGAAGAGCCCUGCUGGAGCAUCACUCCGGGGACCCUGGGAAUCUGUGGAGCUGCCAGUUGAUCCGCUGCGUUUAAGGAUAGUGGGAGGACCAGACAGACGGAGCUGGAUCAGGAGAUUUAGUCGCUCAGACAGUCUGACAGUUUUCUGCUGUGUGAUUUAGUUAAAGGGACCAACCAGCACCCCAGGAUAUGCCCCUGUUGGGUCACUAAGCCGGACUGAUGUGGUGUGCGAGCCAUGGUGACUCUGUCCCACAAGAAGUCUUUCAGUGAGGAAGACUGCGAAAAGGACAGACAAUAGACCAGAGGAACGACGUGAAGAGAGCAGGACGAACAGCAGCAGACGAGCCAGUAAGAUAGUUAAAGGCCUUGGGUGGGAGGGAGAAGAGGAGACUGGGGGGUAAAAGGUGGAAUAGAAGAUUCCUAUUUUCUCUGGUUUAGGACAUUUGAGCGCAAAACAAGGACAUUGAACAUUACCCCCCUAACCCCCCCCCCCCCCCCCCCCCCCCGUCUCACCUCUUUUCCUACGCUGU
rnacentral:lncRNA from 1 species